rnacentral:miRNA from 1 species
GCCGUAGCUUGACACAGAGC